GAUGUUGACGACCGGCGCACGGGUGCGCAACGCGUAUACAAUCUGCCCCCUACUGUGGGAUAGCCCAGAGAAAUUUGGAUUAAUACCACAUGGUACCAUAUUGCGGCAUCGUAUUUAUGGUUAAAGGUUACGGUAGGGGAUGAGUAUGCGUCCCAUUAGUUAGUUGGCGAGGUAACGGCUCACCAAGACCGCGAUGGGUAGGGGCCCUGAGAGGGGGAUCCCCCACACUGGUACUGAGACACGGACCAGACUCCUACGGGAGGCAGCAGUGAGGAAUAUUGGACAAUGGGCGGGAGCCUGAUCCAGCCAUGCCGCGUGCAGGAAGAAUGCCCUAUGGGUAGUAAACUGCUUUUAUACGGGAAGAAAAAGGGCUACGUGUAGCCCACUGACGGUACCGUAAGAAUAAGGACCGGCUAACUCCGUGCCAGCAGCCGCGGUAAUACGGAGGGUCCGAGCGUUAUCCGGAAUUAUUGGGUUUAAAGGGUCCGUAGGCGGGCCGAUAAGUCAGGGGUGAAAGUCUGCCGCUCAACGGUARAAUUGCCUUUGAUACUGUCGGUCUUGAGUUAUGGUGAAGUUGGCGGAAUAUGUAGUGUAGCGGUGAAAUGCAUAGAUAUUACAUAGAACACCGAUUGCGAAGGCAGCUGACUAACCAUCGACUGACGCUGAUGGACGAAAGCGUGGGGAGCGAACAGGAUUAGAUACCCUGGUAGUCCACGCCGUAAACGAUGGAUACUAGCUGUCCGGGUCCUUGAGACCUGGGCGGCCAAGCGAAAGUGAUAAGUAUCCCACCUGGGGAGUACGUUCGCAAGAAUGAAACUCAAG
rnacentral:rRNA from 1 species